rnacentral:rRNA from 1 species
UACGAAGGGGGCUAGCGUUGUUCGGAAUCACUGGGCGUAAAGCGCACGUAGGCGGAUCUUUAAGUCAGGGGUGAAAUCCCAAGGCUCAACCUCGGAACUGCCUUUGAUACUGGGGAUCUCGAGUCCGGGAGAGGUGAGUGGAACUGCGAGUGUAGAGGUGAAAUUCGUAGAUAUUCGCAAGAACACCAGUGGCGAAGGCGGCUCACUGGCCCGGAACUGACGCUGAGGUGCGAAAGCGUGGGGAGCAAACAGG